rnacentral:rRNA from 1 species
AUUGAACGCUGGCGGAAUGCUUUACACAUGCAAGUCGAACGGUAGAGGGGGCAACCCCUCGAGAGUGGCGAACGGGUGAGUAAUAUAUCGGAACGUGCCCAGUCGUGGGGGAUAACGUAGCGAAAGUUACGCUAAUACCGCAUACGAUCUAAGGAUGAAAGCGGGGGAUCGCAAGACCUCGCGCGAUUGGAGCGGCCGAUAUCAGAUUAGGUAGUUGGUGGGGUAAAGGCUCACCAAGCCAACGAUCUGUAGCUGGUCUGAGAGGACGACCAGCCACACUGGAACUGAGCAACGGUCCAGACUCCUACGGGAGGCAGCAGUGGGAAAUUUUGGACAAUGGACGCAAGUCUGAUCCAGCCAUUCCGCGUGCGGGAUGAAGGCCCUCGGGUUGUAAGCUGCUUUUGUACGGAACGAAAAGGUCUCUCUUAAUACGGGGGACUCAUGACGGUACCGUAAGAAUAAGCACCGGCUAACUACGUGCCAGCCGCCGCGGUAAUAC